rnacentral:rRNA from 1 species
UACGUAGGGGGCAAGCGUUGUCCGGAAUCAUUGGGCGUAAAGAGCGUGUAGGCGGCCCGGUAAGUCCGCUGUGAAAGUCGGGGGCUCAACCCUCGAAUGCCGGUGGAUACUGUCGGGCUAGAGUGCGGAAGAGGCGAGUGGAAUUCCUGGUGUAGCGGUGAAAUGCGCAGAUAUCAGGAGGAACACCGAUUGCGAAGGCAGCUCGCUGGGACGUAACUGACGCUGAGACGCGAAAGCCAGGGGAGCAAACGGG